AUCUGGAUUGCCUUGAUUUUCCUCCUCAUCCACUUUUCUUUAUCACAAAAAGAUUUCGAAAUCAGCAAUUGAAUUCAAGAUAUCUCCAUCCUAAUCUCAAAAAAUCAGGAAAGAAAUCUUAUGCACUUUUAAAUAUUUUUAUUUCUUGGCUUGAUAUACAUUGAAUCGAAUCAUGGAAAUCACACCAUAAAUAAUUCCACUGUUCAAGAAAGGAUGUUGAUAAUCUACUGCUUGGUGUCAAUACAAGGGAAUUCUUCUAGAGCUUAUUAGUGAAAUAUGUCAGCCCCAAAACGCGAAGACAUUAGAACAAGCUUCAACGGGCGAUGAUGGUCUCCAUUCUUUACACACUCAAAUUCACCAGGUCAAUCAUCCAGGUAAAAGAAAGAGCAAACAAUCAAAAAAUUUCUUUUUUGCUUUUUUUAUCCUUUUAAGGUACUGACCAAUUGACAUAUUUAUUUGAAAUCAAAGUCAUUCUAAUCAUAAAGAUGCAUGACCAGCUGACAUAUUUAUUUGGAAGAGAAAUAAUAGGGACUCGAUAUGUUUUAGAUUGGCUUUAAGAAGUGCUAAAAUGGAAACAGACAAGGCAAUGGAGACGGUCUUAUUUAGUGGAACCGAAGAAGAACCAUAUGAGAUGAUGUCAUGAUGAGCAAUUUCUCAGGAGUCUAGGGUCUUACAUUUUGUGAAUGCCACUUUCCACACUCUACAAAAGCUACCAAACCAAUGUCAAGAAGAAUUAAGGUGUUUGGCUACUGAGUUACACAGUAAAGCUGAAAUUUUGCGGGAUAUUGAAUCUCAUAAGUCAUAACCAUGUAUUAUUCAGUAACCAAAAGGCGUUUACUCCAACGGGUAUCUGGUGUUGCCCUCACUCCUUGAUGUUGAGGGUUCAAGUCCCGUCUUGGACAUAGGUGAAUUUAAGGUUCGCUUCUUUGACGAUUUCACGAGUUAGGUCGCAAACGGUUCAUCAAAUUUCGGCGAUUCUCUCAUUCCGUGGACUCGAUUUGUUGUUUCUCUGAUUUUGAUUUGUUGUUAAUCUGAUUAUCACAAGUUUGUAUGGAGCAUUCCACGAGUAUAGUCACUAAAAGAAAAUACAUUAGUGUUGUACGACGUCGAGCUAUAUAUGAAGCCUUGUUGCAAGCAACUGAUUCCGAACUGUUAGUCGCAUUUGGCAUCAGGCUAAAUCUCAGUUUGACCAAGGACUACCGGUCGAUCUAUCUUCAAAUUUGCCAAUGGUUGUUGGACGAAAAAGGGUGCAAGUAAAUUUAAAUCAAGUUUUAGAUAUUCCAUUACGCCGCUGGACUAAUAUACGGUCCCUUGCAAAUUGUUUAAAUGUUUAUAAAUCAACUAUGCAUAGACGAAUCAAGGAAGGUGCCCUUCGACCACACACAAAUGCCAUCAAGCCGACUCUCACUCAUGAGAAUAAGAGAGCAAGAUUAGAAUUUUGUUUAUCUAAGAUUAGUCGAUCAUUAUCAAGCCAAAUUCCCACAUUGCAUGAUAUGUUCAAUGUUGUCCACAUUGACGAGAAGUGGUUUUACAUGUCAAAACCAUCAAGACGUUACUACCUUAUCCCCGGCGAGGAUGAAUCAUUAAGAACAUGUCAAAGCAAAAAGUUUAUCACCAAAGUUAUGUUCCUAGCGGUUGUGGCAAGACCAAGAUUUGAUGCUUCCAGUGACGAAAUUUUUUCGGGAAAAAUCGGUAUCUACUCGUUUACAAGAUUAGAACCCGCUAAGCGUUCAAGCAAAGACCGUGUUGCGGGAACAUUGGAGACAAAACCUAUUUUAUCGGUGACUAAAGAAGUAACAAGGUCAUGGUUGAUACAAAUUUUUUUUGCCGGAUAUUAGAGCUAAAUGGCCGGGAAGUCAAAUUGGUCCCAUAUUUAUUCAACAAGACAACUCAAAGCCCCAUAUUGAUGUUAACGACAUCGAGUUUCUUGAAGCGGCAUCUCGAGAUGGAUUUGAUAUCCGUCUAAGUUUUCAACCCCCUAAUAGUCUGGAUUUGAAUGUGUUGACCUUGGAUUCUUUCGAGCAAUCCAAUCACUUCAAGAGCAAGAGGUUUUGGGUACAAUUGAUGAGUUGGUUCAUGCGGUUGAAACAUCUUUUGAAAAAAUGAAAUCUCAACAACUUAACAAUGUAUUUUUAAUUCUACAAACAUGUAUGAAGGAAAUCAUAAAUGUUCAACGUGGCAACAAUUACCAAAUACCGCAUAUUGGUAAGAAUAGGUUGGAACGAGAAGGUAACCUACCACUCCAAAUUGCAUGUGAUCAAAAUCUCAUAGACGAAGCUCUAUUGCAUUUGGCUGCGUAGUUAAAAUUUUGAUAGACGUUGGUCUUUUGUAUUUUGUGUGUUUGUAAGUGUAGUGUAUUUUGUGAUUUGGAAAGUUUAAAAAAAAAAUCGCAGUAGCCUUAGUCAA